AGUGAACGCUGGCGGUAGGCCUAACACAUGCAAGUCGAACGGCAGCACAGUAAGAGCUUGCUCUUACGGGUGGCGAGUGGCGGACGGGUGAGGAAUACAUCGGAAUCUACUUUUUCGUGGGGGAUCACGUAGGGAAACUUACGCUAAUACCGCAUACGACCUACGGGUGAAAGCAGGGGAUCUUCGGACCUUGCGCGAUUGAAUGCGCCGAGGUCGGAUUAGCUAGUUGGGGGGGUAAAGGCCCACCAAGGCGACGAUCCGUAGCUGGACUGUGAGGAUGGUCGGCCACACUGGAGCUGAGACACGGUCCAGACUCCUAAGGGAGGCAGCAGUGGGGAAUAUGGGACAAUGGGCGCAAGCCUGAUCCAGCCAUACCGCGUGGGUGAAGAAGGCCUUCGGGUUGUAAAGCCCUUUUGUUGGGAAAGAAAAGCAGCAGGUUAAGACCCCGCUGUUCUGACGGUACCCAAAGAAUAAGCACCGGCUAACUUCGUG
rnacentral:rRNA from 1 species